GACGUCGGGGGCGAGCCGGGCCUGCGCGGUAGUGGGACCCGACCCUGUCUCCAGUGGGCGUCUUGGGCCCCGGCUCUAUUCUGGGCUGCGGGCCUGGGAAGGGCUCGCCGGGUGCCAAAUGAGCUGUCCUAACUCUGCGGGGCUGCAGCUUCCUGCAUGAUGCUGGGGAGCUUGGCGCCUGACCCAGGAUCUAGAAGGCACUCUGGGCAGGCCGCGCUCCGCCCACGAAGGUACCCAACCCUCUGGGAUAGAUGCAGGAAGCGAUGGUUAAGACCCAUUUUCACCCAACUUCUCGCCGCAGGUUUAACCACCAAGGACUCUGAGAGCUGGCAGGUCUGAGUAACCCUGGUAACAAUUCUCUUCACCUUAUCAAAACCUGAGCUAAAACCAAUGCAUCAGCUGAUGAUGACAGCAGAGAGUGGCAGGGCUGAGGACCCAAAGUCAUUUCCCAGGCUGGCGGAGAAUAAACUGCCAGGGAGAAGAAUGAGAAGACAGGAGACAAACUGUUUGGAAAGCUAAAUCUUCCCUCUUAAUGAAUAAAGGUUUUUGCCUUGUCUUAAAGUUUCUGAGUCCUAAUUUUGGCAAAAUAAAUAACUUAUGGUAA
ensembl:lncRNA TP53TG1 TP53 target 1